rnacentral:rRNA from 1 species
UUGGAGGGCAAGUCUGGUGCCAGCAGCCGCGGUAAUUCCAGCUCCAAUAGCGUAUAUUAAAGUUGUUGCAGUUAAAAAGCUCGUGGUUGAAUUUCGGGAUUUAUCCGUCGGUCGGGCUUUUGGGUCUGUACUAGCGUGAUGGAUUCCUACCUUCUGAAUAACCGGCAUGUCAUUAAUUUGGUGCGCCGGGGAAGCAGGACUGUUACCUUGAAAAAAUUAGAGUGUUUAAAGCAGGCUAACGCCUGAAUACAUUAGCAUGGAAUAAUGAAAUAGGACGUUCGAUCCUAUUUUGUUGGUUUCUAGGAUUGACGUAAUGAUUAAUAGGGAUAGUUGGGGGCAUUAGUAUUCAAUUGCCAGAGGUGAAAUUCUUGGAUUUAUUGAAGACUAACUACUGCGAAAGCAUUUGCCAAGGAUGUUUUCAUUAAUCAAGAACGAAAGUUAGGGGAUCGAAGACGAUCAGAUACCGUCGUAGUCUUAACCAUAAACUAUGCCGACUAGGGAUCGGAUGAUGUUAAUUUUUUAAUGACUCAUUCGGCGCCUUACGGGAAAC